UUUUGUGCUCUGUCUCUACGGAAUUUUAAACUUUUACUUUAUAUUAAUCGGGGCCUUUGUCGCUGUCACCUUACAAGUUCGCACGGCUGUCAUGAUCAUAUUAUUAAUGGUAGGAAACUAAACAUAGCGAAGGUCGAGUCUGUACGAACAUGAGUUCGUUAAAUUAGUCUGUGUCAGAGUUGUUAGUAUGUUUUGACACAGACAUGUAAGUCAUGGUAGGCUGAAAAAGUGAGGUUAUCAUUGUCUUAAGCACGCAUUUUAACCGCAGAACUAGAUGGAUGUGUGUGGUCAGCUAUGUGCCCCUUGGGAGGGGGGUGGAUAUUCACCGGAUUCGGUCAGUAUGUGGUGACCCGCCUAGGACCACGAUCGUCCGUCCGUAUUUGUAACACGAUGUCACAGUGUUCAUUUCGCCGACAAACACUGCUCCAGCGACCACUUUCAAGUCACUUCCGGUGGUUUUCUGCGUGUGUCCACAUCUGUGACUUUCUAAAUAGAGCACCGUGACUGAUCCUCUCUGCACUUCCUGCCAUGUCACUGCGAGGGGGAGGUACCCACAUCAGCUGCUGAUGCUAGUUUCCUUGUAGCCCGUCUGGGUGCUGCGUGGGGAUCGCGGGAUGGACAACCUCACGAGAAAUAUCCGAUAUUAUCCAUGAUAAUGAAGAAAUGGCUACAGCGUAUAGGCUGUGCAGAAUGAAGACAACGGAAUACCAAUGCUGGCACUGGAAUACAAACCGUUGAGGCGAAGGGCCCCUGGACACCCAAUGGGCAAAUGGAAACACUUGACUACGUGACCGACUGAGUGGGGAGACAGGAGCCAGUAGUUAUGGCUCGGUCUGUGUCAGUGGAGGAACCCUGGUCGAAUCCCGGUCUAAAUGCCAGGUCGUGUCUCUCCAG